rnacentral:lncRNA from 1 species
UUGCAGGGCCUUCACAGAGUGACCCCGGCAGCUGGAAGCUGACCGAACCGUGACCGUGCGUUGCCGCCGCCGGAGGCAGCCGAGGGCUUCCGCGGGGCGCGGUGGAGAGGACGCAGCGGAGGGCGCUGCCCAGCCCUGCGAUACGGGAGAGAUUCGGAGAGCAGAAGGCAUCUGGCAUCUCCGGAGACGGGACAGCGACAGGGCAGUUCCAGAAGGUUCAUCCUGACAUUGCUAGACUGGGAAUGAGAGAACAGGCAGAGGCAACAACAUCCCCACGGUAUUGCCAAGAGAGUUCUUCUAGAAGGAGCAGGCAGAAUAAAGAUUUGAAAGAUGGAACAACAACUAAACUGAUGGCAGAGCUGCAAAUAUCUGGGAAGCCACCCCCCAGAAUUCUCAGCCAUAGCAAUUCUGAUAGCAAAGUUCAAAUAAGCAACACACCCAGACAAUUAAGCAUCUUGGAUAUGCGUUUUAUGAUUAUCCUCCACCCUGGAGCAAAAGGGAGUGCAGCAAACAACAGGCCAUCGGCCAAAACUGCAAGCUAAGCAAGUUCUUACAUUUUUAAGUGAUUGAAAAAAUUAUUCUUCUUAAUAAUAUUUCAUGACACAUUAAAAUUAAAUGAAAUUCAUGUCUCAAUGUCCAUAAAUAAAGCUUUAUUGGAGCACAACCACGCUCAAUUGUUUACCUGCCGUCUAUGGCUGCUGUUGCACCACGACAGCAGAAUUGAGUAUUUGAGACGGAGACUGGAGGUGGCACCCUUCUCACUUUGAAUAG